UAGCGGCGGACGGGUGAGUAAUGCUUAGGAAUCUGCCUAUUAGUGGGGGACAACAUCUCGAAAGGGAUGCUAAUACCGCAUACGUCCUACGGGAGAAAGCAGGGGAUCUUCGGACCUUGUGCUAAUAGAUGAGCCUAAGUCGGAUUAGCUAGUUGGUGGGGUAAAGGCCUACCAAGGCGACGAUCUGUAGCGGGUCUGAGAGGAUGAUCCGCCACACUGGGACUGAGACACGGCCCAGACUCC
rnacentral:rRNA from 1 species